rnacentral:rRNA from 1 species
GAGUUUGAUCGUGGCUCAGAUUGAACGCUGGCGGCAUGCCUUACACAUGCAAGUCGAACGGCAGCACGGGAGCUUGCUCCUGGUGGCGAGUGGCGAACGGGUGAGUAAUGCAUCGGAACGUAUCCUGGAGUGGGGGAUAACGUAGCGAAAGUUACGCUAAUACCGCAUAUUCUGUGAGCAGGAAAGCGGGGGACCUUCGGGCCUCGCGCUCUUGGAGCGGCCGAUGUCGGAUUAGCUAGUUGGUGAGGUAAAGGCUCACCAAGGCGACGAUCCGUAGCAGGUCUGAGAGGAUGAUCUGCCACACUGGAACUGAGACACGGUCCAGACUCCUACGGGAGGCAGCAGUGGGGAAUUUUGGACAAUGGGGGGCAACCCUGAUCCAGCCAUGCCGCGUGAGUGAAGAAGGCCUCGGUUGUAAGUAC